CAGGAGAACAAAGAAGCAGCUAGAGUAGCACGCAUUGUGGGAAGUAAGUAGUUAAAAGGACCAAAGCUCUCUGCUGGUCCCAGCAGCCCCAGAGGCAGCCAGUCCCUUUGAUCCUGACUCUUAAUUGCAGCCUACUUGCACCAGGGAACUUUAAAGAAAAAAAAAAAAACAGGGAAACUCUAGAGAUAGAGCUUGUUUUGUUUCCUGAGGGGAUGGUCUUUGUGGUGGCUGCCAGGAGGCUGAUACUUGAGGCUUCAAAUGAUUGGUUUCCUAAAGGGGAAAAUAAAUAGUUCCUUCCACCAGCUAAGACUCAGGUGUGACUAGAACCCCAGAAAUAUGAGGUGUCUGUGUGUGCCAUUUAGUAGGGGUGCCAGGUACAGACUUCGAAGAGAGAACAGGACAUUAGAAAAGAGACCAUGGGCUAGCGCAGGAGCAGGC
rnacentral:lncRNA from 1 species